UACGUAGGGGGCAAGCGUUGUCCGGAAUCAUUGGGCGUAAAGAGCGUGUAGGCGGCCCGGUCAGUCCGCUGUGAAAGUCCAGGGCUCAACCCUGGGAUGCCGGUGGAUACUGUCGGGCUCGAGUCCGGAAGAGGAGUGUGGAAUUCCUGGUGUAGCGGUGAAAUGCGCAGAUAUCAGGAGGAACACCAAUGGCGAGGGCAGCACUCUGGGACGUGACUGACGCUGAGACGCGAAAGCGUGGGGAGCAAACAGG
rnacentral:rRNA from 1 species